GGGAGCGGAUGGGGCCUGGUGGCUCCUGCGGUCUUCAAAACCGUCUACGGGGCAUUAAGUUGUCCUGGGUGGGUUCGAUUCCUACACGCUCCC
rnacentral:tRNA from 1 species